rnacentral:rRNA from 1 species
AGUCGCCACGGUAAUACAGAGGGUGCAAGCGUUAAUCGGAAUUACUGGGCGUAAAGCGCGCGUAGGUGGUUUGUUAAGUUGGAUGUGAAAGCCCCGGGCUCAACCUGGGAACUGCAUCCAAAACUGGCAAGCUAGAGUACGGUAGAGGGUGGUGGAAUUUCCUGUGUAGCGGUGAAAUGCGUAGAUAUAGGAAGGAACACCAGUGGCGAAGGCGACCACCUGGACUGAUACUGACACUGAGGUGCGAAAGCGUGGGGAGCAAACAGGAUUAGAUACCCCCGUAGUCCCUGUCUCUUAUACC